rnacentral:rRNA from 1 species
GCAAGUCGAGCGGAAACGACAAUAUUGACUCUUUGGAGGAUUUGUUGGGCGUCGAGCGGCGGACGGGUGAGUAAUGCCUAGGAAAUUGCCUUGAUGUGGGGGAUAACCAUUGGAAACGAUGGCUAAUACCGCAUAAUGCCUACGGGCCAAAGAGGGGGAUCUUCGGACCUCUCGCGUCAAGAUAUGCCUAGGUGGGAUUAGCUAGUUGGUGAGGUAAUGGCUCACCAAGGCGACGAUCCCUAGCUGGUCUGAGAGGAUGAUC